rnacentral:rRNA from 1 species
GAUUACUAGACAUUCCAGCUUCAUGGUAGGCGAGUUGCAGCCUCCAAUCCGAACUAGGGCCAUUUUUCUUAGAUUUACUCCACCUCGCGGCUUCGUUUCUUUCUGUUAUGGCCAUUGUAGUACGUGUGUAGCCCAAAACAUAAGGGACGUGAUGAUUUGACAUCAUCCCCACCUUCCUCCGUAUUAUCUACGGCAGUCUGACUAGAGUUCUCAACGUUACUUGUUAGCAACUAGUCACGAGGGUUGCGCUCGUUGCGGGACUUAACCCAACAUCUCACGACACGAGCUGACGACAACCAUGCAUCACCUGCAUAGAGGUCUAAAAGACUAACGUGCUUCCACGUUAUUCCUCUACAUGUCAAGUUUUGGUAAGGUUCUUCGCGUUGCGUCGAAUUAAACCACAUACUCCACUGCUUGUGCGGGCCCCCGUCAAUUUCUUUGAGUUUUAACCUUGCGGCCGUACUCCUCAGGUGGGAUACUUAUUGCGUUUGCGCCGGCACAGACACGCUAAUGCCUACACCUAGUAUCCAUCGUUUACAGUGUGGACUACCAGGGUAUCUAAUCCUG